CUGGCCUGGAAGGGUGGGAUUUCCUCCCUGCUUCCUCCCUUCAGUCUCAGGGCGCGGCCACCACGCUGCCCACCGUGCAGGACCGAAACUUCUCAAUGUGAGCCAAAGUACACGUCUGUCCCUUCAAGAACCGGGUGUUUGGUGCCGUGUCCGAGCAACAAAGACGAUUCAUAAUGCCAAGAAGGAAUUUCCUAAGGAAAACAUUCAAGAAGAAUCUGGACACUAAUAUUUCCCAAGAUAUGAGACAAGCCCUUUAAGCUGAAGUUUAUAAAACAUGCAUCUAUAUUCAAUAUGGAAUCCUCAAAAUCAAGCUUAAUCCCUUUAAAGAAAUAUGAUGACACCAUCAAAGACAAAUUAUUGCCCAUUUUUGGAGGA